GAUGAAGAACGCAGCGAAAUGCGAUAAGUAAUGUGAAUUGCAGAAUUCAGUGAAUCAUCGAAUCUUUGAACGCACCUUGCGCUCCUUGGUAUUCCGAGGAGCAUGCCUGUUUGAGUGUCAUGAAAUUCUCAACCUUUCUGGCUUUUGCUAGUCAGGCUUGGAUUAUGGGAGCUGCUGGCUUUUGAAGUCGGCUCUUCUAAAAUGUAUUAGCAAGAUCAUUGCUGCUCAUCAUUGGUAUGAUAAUUAUCUAUAUCAUUGAGAGUCAGUUUCCUUUAUUGGAAGAUUUUGCUCCUAACGGUCCUUAGCAAGACAACAUUUGACGAUUUUGACCUCAAAUCAGGUAGGACUACCCGCUGAACUUAAGCAUAUCAAUAAGCGGAGGA
rnacentral:misc_RNA from 1 species